rnacentral:rRNA from 1 species
UACGGAGGGUGCAAGCGUUGUUCGGAAUUACUGGGCGUAAAGCGUGCCUAGGUGGAUCCGUAAGUCAGAUGUGAAAGCCCCCGGCUUAACUGGGGAGGGUCAUUUGAUACUGCGGACCUUGAGUUUCGGGGGGGUGAGUGGAAUUCCCAGUGUAGAGGUGAAAUUCGUAGAGAUUGGGAGGAACACCGGAGGCGAAAGCGACUCACUAACCGAAUACUGACACUCAAGCACGAAAGCGCGGGGAGCAAACAGG